UAUUUUAAUAGCUUAUAAUUAAAGUAUAAUAUUGAAGAUAUUAAGAAGGCAUUUUGCCUUAAAAUAU
rnacentral:tRNA from 2 species